GCGAAAGUUUUUCAAUGCUAAAGUUCGCUAUUAUUCCAACACAGAUGCUGAGUUUAAUAUCGAAAAAAAUCCUGGUUCACCUCAUGCAGACUCUCCUUUUAAUAAUCGCUCAUCUAGGAACGCUAUAAACCGCUGUUCAAAUGUUGGGUCUUGCAAUGCCUUCCGCAUUCCAGUCCGUAUAACUAACAGAAUGGGUGCUUAUGAUAACUCCCUCUAUUGUGUGAAAUGUCAAGUCUGUCCAUUGAACUGUGUCAACAUACCAUUGUCUCCGAGCAUCCAUCAAUAUCGAUCUACAACGGCACUUAAACUUUGUACAAUGAAUGUUAGAUCUAUAAAAAACAAAUCUGCGGAUUUCACUGAUUAUGUUUGUUCUUGUAAAGCUGACCUGUUCGCUUUAACUGAAACAUGGCUAACAAAUGAUGACACUGCCCACAAGAGAGAAAUUACACCAGAUGGUUUCAACUUGAUUAGUCAUUCUCGGGUAAAUCGAAUGGGUGGUGGAACGGCGUUGUUGUACAAUCAAUCUUUAAAAGUUCAUAAAGUCGCAGCAGACGUGCGGAGAUCGUUUGAAUAUCUAGAGUCGAUUGUUCCUUGGGGUGCCUUUAAAGCGCGAUUAAUCAUCGUUUAUCGUCCUCCGUACUCGAUGGCUCACCCUACUACACUGUCAAUGUUUGUAUCGGAGUUUGCUGAUUAUUUGGAAUCCAUCAUUUUGUCGCCAGAGUCCCUUAUUAUAACGGGCGAUUUUAAUAUUCAUGUUGAUGACAG